rnacentral:rRNA from 1 species
AAUGAACGUUGGCGGCGUGGAUUAGGCAUGCAAGUCGCGCGAGAACUGUAGCAAUACAGGGAAAGCGGCGUAAGGGACAGUAAUACCUAGAAACGUACCCCCGGGUCUGGGAUAGCGGCGGGAAACUGCCGGUAAUACCAGAUAACGUCCCCGGCCCAAAGGUGUGAUUCCACCUGGGGAGCGGGCUAGGCCCUAUUAGCUUGUUGGUGGGGUAACGGCCUACCAAGGCAAAGAUGGGUAGCAGGUGUGAGAGCACGACCUGCGUCACUGGGACUGAGACACUGCCCAGACACCUACGGGUGGCUGCAGUCGAGAAUCUUCGGCAAUGGGCGCAAGCCUGACCGAGCGACGCCGCGUGCGGGAUGAAGGCCUUCGGGUUGUAAACCGCUGUCGAAGGGGAUGAAAUUCCGGUGGGUUCUCUUGCCGGAUUGACAGAUCCUUGGAGGAAGGACGGGCUAAGUUCGUGCCAGCCGCCGCCGUAAGAC